rnacentral:misc_RNA from 1 species
GAUGAAUAUGAAUUUGUGAACCCAGAUAUGGACUUUUACUCUUAAGUUUGGAGACAUCGCCAUAUCCACCACUGCAGUUCUUCUUGCAAGUGCAGCCUAUGUUCAAUAGAGAUUGAAUUAUGAGAAGCUUAGCUAGUUUCUCACCAUUGGACAGUGUAGGCUACUUCCUAUGAGUUACAGAAUGUUUCAGAGGUUUCCUUCAAAGUGAUUUGAAGCAGAACUUGCUUCUGGUGGUGGAGAUGUUUUUCAGAUUUAUCCACGGUGCUCCGUGGUGAGGAGGUUGGGAAACGAGAUGUUGCUUGUGAUGUUGAGGAUAUAAUUCACACUUUCUUCCUCAAGCUAACAUGCCAAAG